UUGAUAGACAUACCACAUAGACUAAAAUUGGAAUGAUACAGAGAAGAUUAGCAUGGACCCUGCGCAAGGAUGACCCGCAAAUUCGUGAAGCACUCCAUAAAGUG
rnacentral:snRNA from 1 species